ensembl:rRNA 5S_rRNA 5S ribosomal RNA
GCUUAUGGCCAUGCCAACCUGAAAACACCCCAUCUCGUCUGAUCUCGGAAGCAAAGCAGGGUCAGUCCUGGUUUGUACUUGGAUGGGAGACCACCUGGGAAUACCGGGUGCUGUAAGCC